rnacentral:rRNA from 1 species
UACGAAGGGGGCUAGCGUUGCUCGGAAUCACUGGGCGUAAAGCGCACGUAGGCGGAUCUUUAAGUCAGGGGUGAAAUCCUGGAGCUCAACUCCAGAACUGCCUUUGAUACUGAGGAUCUUGAGUCCGGGAGAGGUGAGUGGAACCUCCGAGUGUAGAGGUGAAAUUCGUAGAUAUUCGGAAGAACACCAGUGGCGAAGGCGGCUCACUGGCCCGGUACUGACGCUGAGGUGCGAAAGCGUGGGGAGCAAACAGG